rnacentral:rRNA from 1 species
UACGGAGGGGGGCUAGCGUUGUUCGGAAUUACUGGGCGUAAAGCGCGCGUAGGCGGCUUGUAUAGUCGGAUGUGAAAUUCCUGGGCUUAACCAAGGAAGUGCAUCCGAAACUGCAGAGCUUGAGUACUUAAGAGGAUCGCGGGAAUUCCCGGUGUAGAGGUGAAAUUCGUAGAUAUCGGAAGGAACAUCAGUGGCGAAAGCGACUUCCUGGACCAAGUACUGACGCUCAUGUGCGAAAAGCGUGGGG